GUCAGCGUGGUGUAGUGGUUUGAGUGUUGGGCUACAUCUCUAGAGAUCAGGAUUCAAAUGCCUGCUCUGCCA